AGUGAACGCUGGCGGUAGGCCUAACACAUGCAAGUCGAACGGCAGCACAGUAAGAGCUUGCUCUUACGGGUGGCGAGUGGCGGACGGGUGAGGAAUACAUCGGAAUCUACUUUUUCGUGGGGGAUAACGUAGGGAAACUUACGCUAAUACCGCAUACGACCUACGGGUGAAAGCAGGGGAUCUUCGGACCUUGCGCGAUUGAAUGAGCCGAUGUCGGAUUAGCUAGUUGGCGGGGUAAAGGCCCACCAAGGCGACGAUCCGUAGCUGGUCUGAGAGGAUGAACAGCCACACUGGAACUGAGGCACGGUCCAAACUCCUACGGGGGGCAGCAGUGGGGAAUAUUGGACAAUGGGCGCAAGCCUGAUCCAGCCAUACCGCGGGGGUGAAGAAGGCCUUCGGGUUGGAAAGCCCUUUUGUUGGGAAAGAAAAGCAGCAGGUUAAUACCCCGCUGUUCUGACGGUACCCAAAGAAUAAGCACCGGCUAAAUUCGUG
rnacentral:rRNA from 1 species